rnacentral:misc_RNA from 1 species
AAAUGGUUAUUUGUAGUUGAAUCGAGGAGCGCUGUAAUCAUGUGUUUUUUCUGUGUGAAUCUUUAAACAUACUACAGGUAAGACGCUUCAUUUAAGGGGAAAAUCUGGACGAUGGAUACAGUGACAAAUUCUAUGAACCUUACUAAUUUCACGACACAAGGUCAUGUUGUGUAUCAAACAUCGACGACAAUGAAUUCAUAUGAAGAUAUAGAUGAAGUAGCCGCUUACCUGUGGAAAGCCAUAUCGCCAAUCAUUUUUAUCGUUGGAAUGACAGGAAAUAUGAUCAUUGUGGUGGGCUUGAAGAAAAUGAAUUUUCAAAGGAGACCGCCGUAUAUAUUUUUGUUCGUUCUUGCAAUAUUUGACAUGGUGGUUCUGUGUGUGGGCUUAAGCCAGUACUGGGUUUUGUACACGUUCGACUACAACCUGCGCUUAGUAGGUGAAGCAGGCUGUAGAAUUAGCCUCUUUGUCAUUUACUGGUCCAUGCAGUGUUCAUCGUGGAUUCUGGUGUGUGUUGUGUUCGAGAGAUUCCUGAAAAUCAAGUUUCCACUGAAGUACAUGAGGUUUGUGACCAUUCCAAGAUGUGUUCGUGUAAUCGUCAUCGUCAUGGUGAUAUUAGGUGGAAUAGACAUGCAUUUGUUGAUUACCAAUGGAAUAAAAUUUGAUAAAAAUGAAACGGAAUGUACCUCAUUAAACGCAGAUUACCUUUACUACGACGAAUAUGUUUUUAUAUGGGUUGAUAUGACGUUCGUUUCCAUUCUUCCAUUUUUACUCAUGAUUUCCAUGAACGCUGUCAUGGUUAAUGUUCUUCGCCAAUCUCGUGAGUUUCGUCGACACAGUGUUCCGAAUACGAUGACAAUGAACCGUAUGAACAGAUUUGAUAAAAGACUAACUACAAUGCUUUUGGUCACCAGUAUCUAUUUCCUGUUUACAACUCUUUUGAUCUCCAUUUAUUAUAUAGUGGACACGUACAAGAAAUCAAAAGGCAAUUAUACAGCGGCAGUGAAAGAAAUAAGUUGGACACUUCUAUAUUUAUUCCAGUUUACUAAUUAUGCUAUGAACUUUAUCCUGUACACUUUGUCCAAUAAAAGGUUUAAGAAAAAGCUCCUGGAAGUUUUCAGACUUAGUUCAAGCAAUUCAAGGUAAUUCUCUUUUAUUAUACAUUUUCAAUGGUAAAUUUUCGUGACUUAACUUAAUUAACUUUUAAAUUUUUUAGCAUACAAAAUACUAUUUUUUAGUUAUUAAUAAAUUCAAUAACAAGAGUAGUGUCUUUGUUUCCAAACAAAAAAUUGCCAAGCUUAAUGCAAUGUUUUUUUCUUUUACAGUUAUAACAACGGAAGUUCAAGAUCGACAAAUAGAGCAUCUGUGUACAGUGUUGAUAUAACUGAAGCCUCAAUUGGGUCAGAACCCGAACCCGAACAAAUGACAAACAUCAACGGGGGAUAUUCACACAACAGCGGUUCAGAAGAGACAAUCGUUUGUAAUGGUAAUAAUCACGAAUUACACAAUGGUGUUUUACAUUGAAUGUCAUCGUUUUUGUGAUGUUUAUUUAUAUAUUUUGAUAUGUUUUGCAAUAUACCAUUCAUUUUAAACGACAUACUUUCUUUCAUUGAGAGAGAGAACGAAUUAAAAGUCAGUUUUGACCUAUUUUUAUAUCUUUUUUAAUUAUGUAAUAAAAUUGAUGAUAUUUG